rnacentral:tRNA from 1 species
UCCGGCAUGGUCUAGUGGCUAGGAUACCUGGCUCUCAACCAGGAGGCCCGGGUGCAAUUCCCGGCGUCGGAA